rnacentral:rRNA from 1 species
UGGGGAAUUUUGGACAAUGGGCGAAAGCCUGAUCCAGCAAUGCCGCGUGUGUGAAGAAGGCCUUCGGGUUGUAAAGCACUUUUGUCCGGAAAGAAAUCCUUGGCUCUAAUACAGUCGGGGGAUGACGGUACCGGAAGAAUAAGCACCGGCUAACUCACGUGCCAGCAGCCGCGGUAAUACGUAGGGUGCAAGCGUUAAUCGGAAUUACUGGGCGUAAAGCGUGCGCAGGCGGUUUGCUAAGACCGAUGUGAAAUCCCCGGGCUCAACCUGGGAACUGCAUUGGUGACUGGCAGGCUAGAGUAUGGCAGAGGGGGGUAGAAUUCCACGUGUAGCAGUGAAAUGCGUAGAGAUGUGGAGGAAUACCGAUGGCGAAGGCAGCCCCCUGGGCCAAUACUGACGCUCAUGCACGAAAGCGUGGGGGAGCAAACAGGAUUAGAUACCCCUGGUAGUCCACGCCCCUAAAACGAUGUNAACUAGUUGUUGGGGAUUCAUUUCCUUAGUAACGUAGCUAACGCGUGAAGUUGACCGCCUGGGGAGUACGGUCGCAAGAUUAAAACUCAAAUGAAUUGACGGGGUCAUAGCUGUUUCCU